rnacentral:rRNA from 1 species
CGUGAACUGGGCGCAAGCCUGAUCCGCAAUGCCGCGCUGCAGGAUGAAGGCCUUCGGGUCGUAAACUGCUUUUGUACGGAACGAAACGGCGAACUCUAAUACAGUCUGCUAAUGACGGUACCGUAAGAAUAAGCACCGGCUAACUACGUGCCAGCAGCCGCGGUAAUACGUAGGGUGCAAGCGUUAAUCGGAAUUACUGGGCGUAAAGCGUGCGCAGGCAGUUAUGUAAGACAGAUGUGAAAUCCCCGGGCUUAACCUGGGAACUGCAUUUGUGACUGCAUAGCUAGAGUACGGUAGAGGGGGAUGGAAUUCCGCGUGUAGCAGUGGGAUGGGUAGAUAUGCGGAGGAACACCGAUGGCGAAGGCAAUCCCCUGGACCUGUACUGACGCUCAUGCACGAAAG